AUUGAACGCUGGCGGCAGGCCUAACACAUGCAAGUCGAGCGGAUGACGGGAGCUUGCUCCUUGAUUCAGCGGCGGACGGGUGAGUAAUGCCUAGGAAUCUGCCUAUUAGUGGGGGACAACAUUCCGAAAGGAAUGCUAAUACCGCAUACGUCCUACGGGAGAAAGCAGGGGAUCUUCGGACCUUGCGCUAAUAGAUGAGCCUAAGUCGGAUUAGCUAGUUGGUGGGGUAAAGGCCUACCAAGGCGACGAUCUGUAGCGGGUCUGAGAGGAUGAUACGCCACACUGGGACUGAGACACGGCCCAGACUCCUACGGGAGGCAGCAGUGGGGAAUGUUGGACAAUGGGGGGAACCCUGAUCCAGCCAUGCUGCGUGUGUGAAGAAGGCCUUAUGGUUGUAAAGCACUUUACGCGAGGAGGAGGCUACUGAGACUAAUACUCUUGGAUAGUGGACGUUACUCGCAGAAUAAGCACCGGCUAACUCUGUGCCAGCCGCCGCGGUAAGAC
rnacentral:rRNA from 1 species